rnacentral:rRNA from 1 species
AAAUGAAUAGACGGGGGCCCGCACAAGCGGCGGAGCAUGCGGCUUAAUUCGAUGCAACGCGAAGAACCUUACCUAGGCUUGACAUAUACCGAAAACUCAUAGAGAUAUGGGGUCCGCAAGGGCGGUAUACAGGUGGUGCAUGGUUGUCGUCAGCUCGUGUCGUGAGAUGUUGGGUUAAGUCCCGCAACGAGCGCAACCCUCGUCCUAUGUUGCCAGCGAGUAAUGUCGGGGACUCAUAGGAGACUGCCGGGGUCAACUCGGAGGAAGGUGGGGAUGACGUCAAAUCAUCAUGCCCCUUAUGUCUAGGGCUGCACGCAUGCUACAAUGGUCGGUACAAAGGGCUGCGAUACCGCAAGGUGGAGCGAAUCCCAAAAAGCCGGCCUCAGUUCGGAUUGGGGUCUGCAACUCGACCCCAUGAAGUCGGAGUCGCUAGUAAUCGCAGAUCAGCAACGCUGCGGUGAAUACGUUCCCGGGCCUUGUACACACCGCCCGU